CAGGGUCAAGGCCUUUACACAUACAGAUACCUGGAGGUCUUGGCAAAUGGAGUGGUAUGGAUGAAGAACUCCUCAUCCCCCAGGACUGGCAGAAGAUGCUAAGAUAUGAGACCCUGUCAGUUUGAUCCAAGAUUACCAUCCUGGUCAGUGUGAUCCCCAUGCUCCAGAGAAAUGCCCAACAGUUUAGAAAGAAGAUCAACAACACUCUCCACUCUGACAGGAUUUUGAAUGUUUGACAAGGGGAACGACUUGCAAGUUCAACUUCUGGAUUUACCAAAGACCGAGCAGAUUCAACAAAAAUGGAGAGUCUUCAAAGUAAAUUAUCCUGUGCUCAAUUGAUCACGGGCCCAAGAUUGGAUAUUCUUAAGUGACCCACAGCCUGGAUCUGACAGAAAAUUAGUCAAAGCAAAUUAGCAGCAGCCAGUAGAUAUCAGCCACAGAGAAUAGUGGAAACCAAGAUCAAAGAGGUCACAAAGG